UGGCACAGCACACAGUAAUUUACCACCUAUUUAUCCACCUCUCAAUUUACCCUCUGUUCCUGAUAACAAGGAGGACAAGGGGCACAAAUGGGACUCGGAUUUUACAUGUGGCCACUAUUGAAUCAAGGGCUGCCUAAUCUUCAGAGGGAGGUGCUAAUACGUUAUCUGGAUUUGCUGAUGAGGGACAUGAGAGGUUAAGACUCCUGCCCGACACCACACAGCUCCCGCAGGCCAAACAGCAUGGGAACAACUGGGGAAGAAAGGAAAAGAUUAUGGUCCAUCCCUCUCCUAUGUGCUCUGCCCUUCUGCCAAGACGCUUCAGUAACUUCCAGGUCCAUCCUCCUACAUUCCUCCUCCUGGCCCCACUGCCUUUCUUCCAACCUCCAUCUGCAACUGGAAAGCCCAAAUACUGUAGGAUCUUUGGCCUUGGAGAUUCACCACAAUGAACACUCACUCCCUCCCCACACUCCUGCAGCUGGUGGUGCAGGACCUGCAGGGACAAGAACUUGGUCAUCCAGGCUGUGAAGGAACUUCCUAGACAGCUC
ensembl:lncRNA